GUGUCGGGCGUCUGUUUGUAGCCUAGUGAGCUAGCCAGCAAUUCAGAGCAGUUAACUCCAGUUCGACAAAUAAAGCGAAAAGGGGUAGGUUUAGACAAGGUACCCGUAUCAUACAAUAUGAUUAUUGGAUUCUGUGGUGCUGUGUGAUAAAUCGAAAAACGCUGCAUGCUUUAGUGAGCCGUUUCAAGUGUAUUUGACGCAGCGCUACCGGACACGGCGGGAUGUUAGACACGGAUGAGCCCACGGUGGUGGGCGAGGAGAUGCUCCAGCAGGCGGUGGAGGAGCAGGGUCCAAAGGGUCAGGCUGGAAUAAUCGCCAAGCAGGAGGGCAUCGAGCUGAAGGACGUACUGCAUUUACGCCUGGACUACAGGCACAUCCUAAAGAUUGACCACUUGUGGCAGUUCACCUCCUUGACCAAGCUACAGCUUGAUAACAACAUUAUUGAGAAGAUUACAGGACUGGAAUUCCUCACUAACCUGGUGUGGCUGGAUCUGUCAUUCAACCACAUUGAGGUGAUCGAGGGCCUGGAUGCCCUGGUGAAGCUGGAGGACCUCAGCCUGUCCAACAACAGCAUCUCCACAAUGGAGAACAUGGACACCCUGGUCAACCUGCAUGUCCUCUCCAUCUGCAACAACAAGCUGUCCCAGUUGGACAACGUGAUCUACCUUCGGAAGUUUAAGAAUCUGCGUGCCCUGAACCUUGCGGGUAACCCCCUUUCCACAGAGGAGUGCUAUACGGAGUUCAUAGCAGCCUACCUGCCAGAACUGGCUUACCUGGACUUCCGCUUGGUGGAUGUGCAAACUAGGGAGGAAGCUCUGGCAAAGUAUCAGUACGCCCUGGAGGAGCUGAUCCACAAUGAGACCCAGGAGCUGAAAGCCAUUGAGGCCAAGAACAAGAAGGAGGAGGAGAUACAGCAGCACAGGGAGGCCUUUGUGGAGUUCCUGAAUGGUCCGCAGCUGUUUGAAAGCAUGUAUGCAGAUGACACCGAGGCGGAAAGACUGGCGUACCUCCCUGGAGUGCCCGCGUUGGUGGAAACCUAUCAGAGCCAGAUGGUGGUGCUGUGUGUGCAGCUGUUUGAGCUGGGCAUGGCACAGAAGCUUGCACGGGAUGCAGAGGUGAAAUGUUUCUUUGACUGUUUCCACGAGGCCGUGGAGGACAACCAGAAGGUGGCGUCAGAGCUGAUCGUGGAGUUUGAGAAGGCGAGGAGAGAGAUGCUGCUGGAGAUGCCGAGGAUGACGGACCGGGAGGAGCUGCUGUCCCGGAUAGAGCAGGGCAGCAAGGAAACCCGCAACCUCCACGACACGCUCAUGACCCUGGAGCUCCAACUGGCCGACCAGCUGGAGGAUGUGGUAAAGGACUUUGAGAGAAACGUUUCUGACAUGGUGUCAAGCUUCAUUGAGGCCGCACAGGGGAUCUUCUCUCAAUGCCGCGAUCUGCAGAACAACCACAACGAGAAGCUCCUGGAGAUCUCCAUGGCGACGCUGGAGAAGGUGGCCAAGAACGAGCUGGAGGAGGACUCUCUGGAUGAGCUGCGAGCGCUAUUGGUGGAUAAAGACACAGUGGUAGGUGCCAUUGGUGCCUCGCACGACACUCACCUGCUGAAGAUCGACAACCGGGAAGACGAGCUGGUGACCCGCAUCAACAGCUGGGUGGCUGCCCUCAUGAAGUCGGUAGGGAGGGGGGCGAGCGCCGAAAUUAAGAGUUUGCAUGAAUAAUGGAAAAAAGGAAUGCGCCUUCCAAAAUGUAAAGAAAAUACGGAUAACCGAUUCACCACGACGAGGUGGCCAGGAAUCGCAAGCGGAUUGCAGAGAUUCACAACUACAUCGACUACGUGACGGACCAGCUGGAAGACAUGAGUCCUUCAUAAGCUUACACAGAGAUCCUUUUCAGGGACCUUUCUAUCACUAAAUCACCAUCCCCAUGGACACAUGUCUAAGGUUUAUGCACACAUUUUUCCACUCGACCUUUAAAAAUGCAAUUUCAGUGCAACUGCUAUAGCUGUGUCAUUCUGAAAGGGGUUUGUCCUGUGGAGGUAAAGUCUAAAUGCUCUGGAAUGUAGUAGCUAUGUCAUAAGGAUCUAAAAUAUUUCUGUUGUAUUACUUGUUUGAUAAUAAUCACUUGUGGAAAUGAUACUGUCUGUGUAUUUCAGUUUCUGUGACGAUCUCCGCAGCCAUGAUAAACUCUCCUGACCAUCA